GUGCUCACCUCAGCAGCACACAUACUGAAAUUGGAAAAUAGAGAUUAGCAUGCCUCUGCACAAGGAUGUCACUCAGAAUGGUGUGGAUAUGUAAAACCCC
rnacentral:snRNA from 1 species